rnacentral:rRNA from 1 species
UAUUGAGAACUUCUAUAUUAUUAUGGAACCUUUAAUGUUAAAACUAGUAACAAGAGAAAACCCCUCUCUAUAAUGCAAACUCAAGCCAGCAAGAACCCAUCACUGGCAACUAACAAAGUAAAGUAGAAACUUUUCCAGAAAACUCUACUUCCCCCAACUGUUAACCUUACACAAGAGCAUUUCAAGAAAGAUUUUAAGAAAAAGAAGGAACUCGGCAAAUAUAAAUCCCGCCUGUUUACCAAAAACAUCGCCUCUUGUCCACCAGUAAGAGGUCCAGCCUGCCCAGUGACUCUUGUUCAACGGCCGCGGUAUCCUAACCGUGCGAAGGUAGCGUAAUCACUUGUCUUUUAAAUAAAGACUAGUAUGAAAGGCACCACGAGGAUUAAACUGUCUCCUUUUUCUAAUCAGUGAACCUAAUCUCCCCGUGAAAAAGCGGGAAUUUUUAUAUAAGACGAGAAGACCCUAUGGAGCUUAAAACAUCAUAACACUGCCCCCCCCCCUUUUUUCCAAUUCAGAAUUUAACCCCCCCCCGCACGCUGAUUAUAUGUUUUCGGUUGGGGUGACCGCGGAGGAAAAUCCAUCCUCCGCGAUGACAAAGGGACCCCCCCCAAACAAUAAGUCACAACUUUAUGUAUCAACAAAUUGACAUUAUUGACCCAAUAUAUUGAUUAACGAACCAAGUUACCCUAGGGAUAACAGCGCAAUCCACUUUGAGAGCUCCUAUCGACAAGUGGGCUUACGACCUCGAUGUUGGAUC